UUGCCUACGGGGGGCAGCAGUGGGGAAUAUUGCACAAUGGGGGGAACCCUGAUGCAGCGACGCCGCGUGGGUGAAGGAGCGUUUCGGCGCGUAAAGCCCUAUCGGCAGGGGAGAAGAUGACGGUACCUGACCAAGAAGCCCCGGCUAACUACGGGCCAGCAGCCGCGGUAAUACGUAGGGGGCAAGCGUUAUCCGGAUUUAAUGGGUGUAAAGGGGGCGCAGACGGCAAUGCAAGCC
rnacentral:rRNA from 1 species